rnacentral:rRNA from 1 species
GAGCACGUAGGUGGGUUUGUAAGUCAGAUGUGAAAGCCUUCUGUUCAACGGAAGAAUUGCAUCUGAAACUGCGAGUCUUGAGUGUAGGAGGGGAGAAUGGAACUUCUGGUGGAGCGGUGAAAUGCGUAGAUAUCAGAAGGAACGCCGGCGGCGAAAGCGAUUCUCUGGCCUAUUACUGACACUCAGUGUGCGAAAGCUAGGGGAGCAAACGGGAUUAGAUACCCCGGUAGUCCUAGCCGUAAUCGAUGGGCACUAAGUAGAGGGGUUUU